UCUGGCAGAAGUGAAUGAACUACGUUAAUUAUCAUGGAUGGGGGCUGGCUGAAGUUACCUUCGCUGGAGACAAUAUGGCAAGACUGGUGGUUAGAUACAAACCUUAAACCCAGUGGUUUCCAACCUUUUUACUACCAAGGAUCCCUUUUGAUAUGCUUAUAUAUAUAUGAAAUUUUGAACUUACUUCACAGACCUCCAUUCCUACCUUUGUAGACCACAGGUUAGGAACCGCUGCUUUAACCAAUCCAUCUGCAGGUUAGCCACCUACCAACUUCAGAUUACCAGUCAUGACACUGGCACUCCUCUAAAAUAUUAUUUUCACUCAAAUUUGAAAAGAAAAGGAAAAGAAAAAUUAAUUUCCUCAAUUCAUGUUUAUUCAGUCUUUCUGAUACAAACCAACCCGAGAUGGCCACUGGUUGUAUCUAAUCUCUAACUCUUAUAUCUAUUUUAAAAUCUUACUUCAUAAUUUUAAACUAAGAACCUUUGUUAUGUUUCAAACAUCAUCUUAAUAUCGAAAUGAAGUAAAGAAGUUGAAGAAAAUUCAAGUUGCUUGUGUCCUAUUGGGAUUAAACAGAAUAUUGUGACAUCUCUGCUAUUGUGGUGUAUGUGACAAGGACAUUAUCCAUAUUUUUAUUCCUGGAAGAUCUCAUGAAGGCACACACUUCAGCAAGACGUUACCCAUGCGAAACAUGUGGCAAAACAUUCUCACAAAAUUCCCAUCUUUCAAGACACAUAAGAACACAUACAGGAGAGAAGCCUUUCCGCUGCGAAGUCUGUGGCAAGGGCUUCCCUGAGAAUUAUACAUUAAAAACCCACAUGAAAACCCACACAGGAGUGAAACCUUUCCAUUGUGAUAUAUGUGAUAAAGACUUUACUGAAAAAGCCACAUUGAUAAAACACACACGCAGCCAUACAGGGCUAAGACCCUACAGCUGUGAAACCUGUGGGGACAGUUUUGCAGAUCAUUCUACUUUAAGAACACACAUAAGAACUCACACAGGAGAGAAACCAUACCAUUGUGAGAUUUGUGGGAAAGACUUUGCAGUCCAUUCUAACUUCAAAAAACACCUUCGAAUCCAUGCCCGACAACAAGAAUUAUUCCAGUGUGAAAAUUGCGGGGAAAAAUUCUCUCAUAGAUUUUAUUUAAUGAAGCAUGUGGAAACACAUGCACCAAAAUCCAUUACACAACUGCGUUGUCAGAUUUGUGGUGACAAUUUUAUUGAUAGUGUUGCUUUGCAAAGUCAUUUAAAGAUUCAUAAUGAUUAGUAGAUAUUUCAGAGACCACUAACUUUCAUAGCAAGAGAUAAAAGGUAUAAAGAUAGAAUUUCUCAAUUAAUUAAUUCAAAGUUACUGUAUUUUCCAGCAUACAAGUUGAAUUUUUCAUACAAAAAUUUACAGCCAAAACUUAUACACCAAGAUGAAUUUGGAGAACCAAAAAUUCCAUGUGAAAUUCAGCAGGAUUUGGAAAGAUAGUGAAGAUGUUUACUCUUUUACUUGUUUCAGUCAUUUGACUGUGGCCAUGCUGGAGCCCCACCUUUAGUCGAGCAAAUUGACUCCAGGACUUAUUCUUUACAUAUGAUGAUGGAGUGCCAAGUAGAAAAAAAAAAAAAUGAGCAUUUUUGACACUUGCUUCUCUUCACUUUCAUUCAAGGUCCUAAAGCUACCAAAGUUGCUCAAGACAUUUGUGCUGUGUAUGGAGAACUGCACAGAAAUGGUUUACAUGCUUCAUGGAGGGUAAUUCAAAUUCACAGACUCUUCACAUUCCUCCCAACCUGUUCAGUUCAAUGAGGAUUGAUUGAAUGAGCUCAUCCAUGUAGAUCUGUGCCAAUCCACUUGAGAAUUGGCCCAGCAGAUGGAAUGCUUUCAUGAUAUCUUCAGUUGUCACUCUCACUUGAGUAAAGUUCAAAAGUUUGCUGCAUGGGUUCCACAUACUCUAAGUGAGACAAACUCCAGCUUCUCUAUCACUGCCAAAUUGUUUGCUUAAUACUAGACAACUUGUGGACACAGAAAUUUCUUCACUGCAUGUCAUCACCAGUGAUGAAAAAUGGUGUCUUUAUGUCAAUAUGCUGUUGAAGAAAGAAAGGCUGAAUACUGACAAGCAACCAACAUCUUGAGCCAAACCAGAGCUGCAUUCAUGUAAGGCAACAAUCUGUGUCUGGUGGGAUUAGGAAGGGAUAAUCUACUACAAAAUGCUUGAAAACAACCACAUGGUCAAUGUAGAGCAUUACAUUCAGCAAAUAGACUGGUUCAUUUUGGGCAAUCCAACUGAAACAACCCAACCAAUGACAUGGUGUUCUUCUUCAACAUGACAACACUCACCUCAUCAUUAUAUUGACCACAAAUACCAUUCAAGAGCUCAAUUGGGAAGUUCUGCUGCACCCAUCAUAUUCUCCUAAUGCUUUCACAUUAUCACCUUUUCUGGUACCUUUCCAUUGUUUGGAAGGCAUUUCAUUCAACAAUGAUGUGGAGCUGAAACUGUUGCUCAGUGUAUUCUUUGAGUCAAGACUUAAUAAUUUACACUGUCUAGGCAUUGAAAAGCUAGUGGGGGCAUUGCCAAGAAGUGAACAAUGAAGGAAAAUAUAUAACUGACUGAUUUGUUAAAAUUAUUGAUUAAAAACUUUUUUUAAAUAAAUUGAAAAAAAUGAAAAUUUAUUUGACAAUCUA